rnacentral:piRNA from 1 species
UGAGGAUUUUGUUGUAGAUUA